rnacentral:rRNA from 2 species
ACGACCAUAGGGUGUGGAAAACAGGGCUUCCCGUCCGCUCAGCCGUACUUAAGCCACACGCCGGCCGGUUAGUAGUUGGGUGGGUGACCACCAGCGAAUCCCGGCUGUUGUAUGUU